AUUGAACGCUGGCGGCAUGCCUUACACAUGCAAGUCGAACGGUAACAGGUCUUCGGAUGCUGACGAGUGGCGAACGGGUGAGUAAUACAUCGGAACGUGCCCGAUCGUGGGGGAUAACGAGGCGAAAGCUUUGCUAAUACCGCAUACGAUCUACGGAUGAAAGCGGGGGAUCUUCGGACCUCGCGCGGCCGGAGCGGCCGAUGGCAGAUUAGGUAGUUGGUGGGAUAAAAGCUUACCAAGCCGACGAUCUGUAGCUGGUCUGAGAGGAUGAUCAGCCACACUGGGACUGAGACACGGCCCAGACUCCUACGGGAGGCAGCAGUGGGGAAUUUUGGACAAAGGGCGAAAGCCUGAUCCAGCCAUGCCGCGUGCAGGAUGAAGGCCUUUGGGUUGUAAACUGCUUUUGUACGGAACGAAAAGCCUCUUUCUAAUAAAGAGGGGUCAUGACGGUACCGUAAGAAUAAGCACCGGCUAACUACGUG
rnacentral:rRNA from 1 species